rnacentral:rRNA from 1 species
CAGUCGAACGAAGAUAUUAAGAAUGAGAGCUUCGGCAGGAAUUUUUUCUAUCUUAGUGGCGGACGGGUGAGUAACGUGUGGGCAACUUGCCCUGCACUGGGGAAUAAUCAUUGGAAACGAUGACUAAUACCGCAUACGGUUCCUGGGAGGCAUCUUCCGGGAAAGAAAGGAUUUAUUCGGUGCAGGAUGGGCCCGCAUCUGAUUAGCUAGUUGGUGAGAUAACAGCCCACCAAGGCGACGAUCAGUAGCCGACCUGAGAGGGUGACCGGCCACAUUGGGACUGAGACACGGCCCAAACUCCUACGGGAGGCAGCAGUGGGGAAUAUUGCACAAUGGGCGAAAGCCUGAUGCAGCAACGCCGCGUGAAGGAAGAAGGGUUUCGGCUCGUAAACUUCUAUCAACAGGGACGAAAGAAAUGACGGUACCUGAAUAAGAAGCUCCGGCUAACUACGUGCCAGCAGCCGCGGUAAUACGUAGGGGGCAAGCGUUAUCCGGAAUUACUGGGUGUAAAGGGUGAGUAGGCGGCAUGGUAAGCCAGAUGUGAAAGCCUUGGGCUUAACCCGAGGAUUGCAUUUGGAACUAUCAAGCUAGAGUACAGGAGAGGAAAGCGGAAUUCCUAGUGUAGCGGUGAAAUGCGUAGAUAUUAGGAAGAACACCAGUGGCGAAGGCGGCUUUCUGGACUGAAACUGACGCUGAGGCACGAAAGCGUGGGGAGCGAACAGGAUUAGAUACCCUGGUAGUCCACGCCGUANACGAUGAGUGCUAG